CAGGUUGUGUGCAGAGAGAAUGAAGAGGAGGACUUCACACCCAACAUGCUGACUGAGUCUGCAAACAUUUCAUACAGCUCCGCUCCCUGAAGGUCUGCUGUCUGUCGUCCACAUCACUGAUGAUGGAAUGAGCUUCCUGAAGCCGCUG